AGAGUUUGAUCAUGGCUCAGAUUGAACGCUGGCGGCAGGCCUAACACAUGCAAGUCGAACGGUAACAGGAAGCAGCUUGCUGCUUUGCUGACGAGUGGCGGACGGGUGAGUAAUGUCUGGGAAACUGCCUGAUGGAGGGGGAUAACUACUGGAAACGGUAGCUAAUACCGCAUAACGUCGCAAGACCAAAGAGGGGGACCUUAGGGCCUCUUGCCAUCGGAUGUGCCCAGAUGGGAUUAGCUUGUUGGUGGGGUAAAGGCUCACCUAGGCGACGAUCCCUAGCUGGUCUGAGAGGAUGACCAGCCACACUGGAACUGAGACACGGUCCAGACUCCUACGGGAGGCAGCAGUGGGGAAUAUUGCACAAUGGGCGCAAGCCUGAUGCAGCCAUGCCGCGUGUAUGAAGAAGGCCUUCGGGUUGUAAAGUACUUUCAGCGGGGAGGAAGGGAGUAAAGUUAAUACCUUUGCUCAUUGACGUUACCCGCAGAAGAAGCACCGGCUAACUCCGUGCCAGCAGCCGCGGUAAUACGGAGGGUGCAAGCGUUAAUCGGAAUUACUGGGCGUAAAGCGCACGCAGGCGGUUUGUUAAGUCAGAUGUGAAAUCCCCGGGCUCAACCUGGGAACUGCAUCUGAUACUGGCAAGCUUGAGUCUCGUAGAGGGGGGUAGAAUUCCAGGUGUAGCGGUGAAAUGCGUAGAGAUCUGGAGGAAUACCGGUGGCGAAGGCGGCCCCCUGGACGAAGACUGACGCUCAGGUGCGAAAGCGUGGGGAGCAAACAGGAUUAGAUACCCUGGUAGUCCACGCCGUAAACGAUGUCGACUUGGAGGUUGUGCCCUUGAGGCGUGGCUUCCGGAGCUAACGCGUUAAGUCGACCGCCUGGGGAGUACGGCCGCAAGGUUAAAACUCAAAUGAAUUGACGGGGGCCCGCACAAGCGGUGGAGCAUGUGGUUUAAUUCGAUGCAACGCGAAGAACCUUACCUGGUCUUGACAUCCACGGAAGUUUUCAGAGAUGAGAAUGUGCCUUCGGGAACCGUGAGACAGGUGCUGCAUGGCUGUCGUCAGCUCGUGUUGUGAAAUGUUGGGUUAAGUCCCGCAACGAGCGCAACCCUUAUCCUUUGUUGCCAGCGGUCCGGCCGGGAACUCAAAGGAGACUGCCAGUGAUAAACUGGAGGAAGGUGGGGAUGACGUCAAGUCAUCAUGGCCCUUACGACCAGGGCUACACACGUGCUACAAUGGCGCAUACAAAGAGAAGCGACCUCGCGAGAGCAAGCGGACCUCAUAAAGUGCGUCGUAGUCCGGAUUGGAGUCUGCAACUCGACUCCAUGAAGUCGGAAUCGCUAGUAAUCGUGGAUCAGAAUGCCACGGUGAAUACGUUCCCGGGCCUUGUACACACCGCCCGUCACACCAUGGGAGUGGGUUGCAAAAGAAGUAGGUAGCUUAACCUUCGGGAGGGCGCUUACCACUUUGUGAUUCAUGACUGGGGUGAAGUCGUAACAAGGUAACCGUAGGGGAACCUGCGGUUGGAUCACCU
rnacentral:rRNA from 1 species